GUUUACAUAAGGUUUAUUUUUUUUUUACUCUUAACAGCAUAUUCAAUUGUUCUUAUCAAAUUAUUCAGAGGGUAUCAAACUUUUGGAAUGACCAAACUUCUGUGUACAUACACUGGAUUAUUUUUUAGUUACAAAGUAAGGUCAGCCUCAUGAAUGCAAAACAUAACGAAACCAUUUAAGGGCCUGGCAGAAAUUAGUACAUCUUAGACAGUGGG